rnacentral:tRNA from 1 species
GGAGAGAUGGCUCAGCAGUUAAGAGCACUGGCUGUUCUUCCGGAGGUCCUGGGUUUAAUUCCCAGCACCUUCG